rnacentral:rRNA from 1 species
UGUGAACGCUGGCGGUAGGCCUAACACAUGCAAGUCGAACGGCAGCACAGAGGAGCUUGCUCCUUGGGUGGCGAGUGGCGGACGGGUGAGGAAUACAUCGGAAUCUACUCUGUCGUGGGGGAUAACGUAGGGAAACUUACGCUAAUACCGCAUACGACCUACGGGUGAAAGCAGGGGAUCUUCGGACCUUGCGCGAUUGAAUGAGCCGAUGUCGGAUUAGCUAGUUGGCGGGGUAAAGGCACACCAAGGCGACGAUCCGUAGCUGGUCUGAGAGGAUGAUCAGCCACACUGGAACUGAGACACGGUCCAGACUCCUACGGGAGGCAGCAGUGGGGAAUAUUGGACAAUGGGCGCAAGCCUGAUCCAGCCAUACCGCGUGGGUGAAGAAGGCCUUCGGGUUGUAAAGCCCUUUUGUUGGGAAAGAAAUCCAUCUGGUUAAUACCCGGGUGGGAUGACGGUACCCAAAGAAUAAGCACCGGCUAACUUCGUGCCAGCAGCCGCCGUAA